rnacentral:miRNA from 1 species
UAGUGUUUCAGCUUGACAAG